UAGGGUUUUCUCUCUACCUUAGCCGCCUCACUAUCCUCUUGCAAUCCAAUCCAUCGAGUAUUGCAUCGAUCUUACCGCUAGUCACUACCCUCCACUCAUUUCCUUGAUCCCCAUUCCAUGUAGAUCUGAUGGAUUCACCUAUUGUGGUGGCUUGGGUCUAUAUGCUUUCCACUUUUGAGUCUUCAUCCAUGAUUUUAUUUCCUUACCUGCUGGUCUUCUCCUUAGAUUCUUAAGGUAUACAUGGAAAAAUCUCUAUUUUUUCUGCAUUUUCCCCUCUUUAAGCUUCACUUGAUGCCUCUUUAAUGGGGAUUUUGGAUCUCUGAUGUGCUAAGAGCAAGAUAUUUAGUUGAAGUAUAAGAGAAGGUGAUUAUUUCUUUCUUGGAGUCUUGACUUGGGGCAGCCAACAGAAGUUCAAGAAUUGACGAAGCAAAGAUAUUUUUACCCUUCCAAGUUCCACCCUUUAUUCCUAUGAGGCUUUUUUUCUAUAAUUCA
rnacentral:lncRNA from 1 species